CGACUGGCGGAGCCCGCCUUACCCACACCGCGGCGACGGAAGUGACGGCGUGGGGGGGUGCGGGCGGCUAUGGCGGAGGGGAUCUUGUUCCGGCGUGGGACCGGGCAGAGCGACGACUCAGACGUGUGGGACGACACGGCCCUCAUCAAGGCGUACGACAAGGCGGUGGCCUCCUUCAAGAACGCUUUAAAGAACGGGCAGUGUUCGGAGCCUUCGGACAAACAGGAGCAGCACCUGGGGAUGAAAAGAAAAAACAACAAAAAGAACAGACACAGAAACAGAAACAAGAGCAUCACGAUCCCUUUGAAACAGUGGAAAGUUGGUGACAGCUGUAAUGCUGUUUGGUCUGAGGACGGUAAAGUGUACCUAGCAACUAUUGCCUCCAUCAACCAGAAGAGAGGCACAUGUGUUGUUAUAUACACAGGAUAUGGAAAUGAGGAGGAGCAGAACCUGUCUGAUCUACUUCCUCCAGCCAGCGAUGAAACAAAUGAAAAUGAGACUCCAUAUUCCACAGAUGAAAGUGAAAAAUCUUCCCAGUCACGCCGAAACAAAAACAACUGCACAAAAGGAAGAUUCUCCCCUCAAAACCUAUAUUUUCCAGUACCACCAGCAGCCCCAGGCCUGGGAAGGACCGAAUCAAAAUUUAGGGCACCUCCAUCGUUUUUACCUUGCUGGCCCCCACCCUUCCUAGCAGGACCACCGUUGAUUCCGCCUCCACCACCUAUAAGGCCAGACUCUCUUGAGGAUGAUGAAGCAUUGGGGAGUAUGUUGAUAGCCUGGUACAUGAGUGGUUAUCACACUGGGUAUUACCUGGGUUUAAAACAAAGUCGAAUGGAAGCAGCACUAGAGAGAGAAACACAUGCAAAAUAACUGAAUGUCCGUCGUUGUUUUAAAGGAUUGUGUAUAAUUCGUAAUACAAGAAGGAAGAGAAAAAAAACAAACCCUCACACUUUCAAACUUUUCCAAUCUCGAAAAACUGGUGAAAGCAGCAACACCGUUGCCAAACUCUUAGAUUGGAUAUACUGCUCCUUCAUGAUAUCAAACAUUUUAAGGUCCUCUGCGAUGAAGAGCCAACCCACCAUUGCUAUUGUCACAGGACUAGGCAAUGAAGAAACACACUGGACAAAAGCUGUCACUGUUGUUGCACCAGCUUUGAUUUGAUGUCUAAACAUAUGGCUAAAUUCCAGCUCUUUUAAAGCAGGCAUGUUAUUAAGUGUUGUAAAGAAAUUUUUCCAACCAAUUUCUCAAAUAAAAUGCCAGCCUAAGCAACCGCUUGAGGUCAGACACCAUAUGUGAGAUACUGAGUUUAGCAAUCUCUUCAUGCCUGUGUACCAUCGCAUACACUCUUCAGUCUUGCCUUGCCGUCAGCCUACUUACAGGAUGAGACGCCUAUCAUCAAGUCACUAUAUAUACUAAAAUAUAUGUCAAAAAUAAAGGAAGAUGAUACGACAAACUUAGCAUUUGCUAAGACAUUUUCACUAGCACAUAUAUGAGAUAGUAGUUUAAAAGACUAUAUACUAAAGUAUUAAAUUCAAUAAAUAUUUUGGUAAUACACAAUUUUAACAGGACAUAUAAGCUA